UUUUUUUUUAGAUAGAUUUAGGUGCUCUACCCCUGAACUACCCCAGAACUUUAUUUUGAGACAGAGUCUUGCUAAGUUGCCUAGGUUGGCCUUGAACUUGCAAUCCUGCCUUGGCCUCCCAUGUUGCUGGGAGUUGCAGUUGUCCAGAUAACUACUGCUUAGAUCUACUCACUAUUAAUAUGCUGCCUUAACUGUUUUCUCUUUCUGCUUGGAAAAAAAUAUACUUUGUUGUCACUGGACUAUUUGAAAGUAAAUCACAGACAUUUUGACAUCUAAUCUCUUAACACUUUAAUGUGCAUCCACUAAGCAAGGACAGUCUCUUGCGUACCCAGGGUAGUUUUUCAUGCCUGAAUCACUAGUAAUUCCCUCCAUCUGUUGCAGAGUCCAGUUCAACUUGCCUGGUGUCCUCAGAAUGUCCUUCCUACAGGUGUCUUGUCCUCCUUCUGACUGAGGCUUUUGCUGAGCUUGCCAUGGUGCCUGUCUGCAGUGCUCUUCCCACCUUUUCCUGUGACUUUUUGUUUUAAUUUUCUGUUUGGAGAAGUUGCAGUUAUUUAUAGAAGUAGAGAGAGUUAAUGCCUGUGCCCAUACCAGCAGUGCUCAAUUCCUGGCUGACGCUACUUUUUGAAAGGGCCAGGUUGUUAUUAGAGGAUGUCCCUCACUUGUGAUUGCUUAUAUUUCAAGGUCAGAAGGUGCCUAUCGAGUACAGGGGCACAGCUGGUGGCUGAUGUUGCUUCUUAUCCACUGGGCGGAGGUCUUGCUGGGAAGGUCAGUUGCAGCAGAACCCUUGAGAGCCAGAGUGGCAGCAGGUGUGUGAUGGUAGCAAGGCACCAGCUUCAGGCCAUCUUGCCCCGGAUCCACUUGGCUCCAGUCCCUUCUGACUGGACACUGCCCCUGCCUCCUUGGACUGAUCUCCUGAGUGGGGGGUCAGCCCAGCUCCCUCUCACUUCCUCCCUGUGGCCUUGGGACCCCUCACAGUGUACUGCUGAAUACAGCUUGCUCUGUGCCUUCCCUUUCCUUUUGGACCUGGGCACACGUUCUGCUUUCCAGCCACAUAGGCCUGUUUCCCACUCCUCAGAGAUGCCCAUGCCAUCCUGGCCUUGGGCCUCUGGGGACACUGUCCACGAGGAGGUUCCCCACUGUCCAGGUCGUGGUAUGUGCCUCCACGUUGUGCUCUCUGGGCUGGCCAUGGAGCGCUGGCCAUGGAGCUCUGGCCCUGGUCGUAGGCAGAGCUGGUUUGUCUGUGUGCCCUGCAUUGUGGCAUGGGGUAGAGGACUCUGGGAUAAGGUGGGCAGUGGUCAGGAUGACCGCCUAGAGCCAGCUGCUCUGCAGGCAUUCCUAGCUCCUGCUGUGAGCAUCUCUGCGGUACCUACUCCCUGGGCCUCUACAGGUUGUGCAUGUCAUGGCACUGGAGACAUCUAGGGUGAUGAGGUAAAGUCAGAUGGGCUGCAGGUGUACCCCCUCUGCCUGGGGCUUCCUCUGUUGCCUCUGGUUUCUUGAGAAUCAGUGCCUAUAGCUUGUGGCCUUGCUGAACAGAAGGUUUGGUCAGCCAGUUCUCCUGGGACAGUAGGUCAUGAACCUUGUCCGUUGACCUCUGUGUUGUUUUAAAGUCCUUGGAAUUGUUUUCAUGGCUGCACACCUUGGCCAGAAACCAAUUGGGUGUCUGCUCCUUGGUUGGCCCAGCUCUUAGGGCAGUGCUGUCCGGUGACACGGUGGGCUUUAUUCCCUUAAGUGCUGAUUUGCUAGAAGAAUUAGCAGUUGAGGAAUCUUUUUUUUUUUUUAUAUAUAUAUAUAUAUUUUUUUUUUAGUUUUCCGCAGACACAACAUCUUUGUUUGUAUGUGGUGCUGAGGAUCGAACCUGGGCUGCUCGCAUGCCAAGCCAUAGAGCUACCGCUUGAGCCACAUCCCCAGCCCCAAGUUGAGGAAUCUUUAAAAUCUCACAUUUCAAAUGAGCCUGGGAGCCAGAUGGAGUGGCACAUGCUGUGGUCCAGCUAUUUGGGAGGCUGAGGUGGGAAGGUUACUUGAGCUCUAGAGCGUGAGACCCCGUCUCUGAAUAAACAAGAUUGAGAGGUCAAGGUCGCCAGUGAGUCUGAUAGCUGCGGUGCUGCCCCUGGGCUGAGCCUGGCCCCGGACCAUGUGCACAGUUUUCUCUGCCUCCUCACCCUUCAGGGAGGGGCUCUCUGGGGUCUGGUGAGUUGGGAGCUCCUUGUGCCUUUGUGCCUUCAGAACAGCAGUCCUCAAAAGGGUCAGUUCUCCUUCCUGCACUUACUUCUAAUUGUGUGGCCUGUGAGUGGCCUGCCUUUCUGUGGUCACUGGUCAGUGUUUCUCAGUAACUGAUAGGUCACAGGGCCACCAAAAGAGUGAUGGUGGGUCUUGGCAUAGACAGGCCAGGUCAUGAUGAGUUCUUCCUGCAGAGACUGAGGGGACUUUGACAGUCGGGCAUUUUUAGUCAUACCACCUUGGCCUUUCUUUGCCUGGGGUAUGCUUCCUUCCGGGAGUUAGGCCUGUUCCUUUGUCCUGGCAUCCUGGCUUCAGGUUGGUGGCCCA
rnacentral:lncRNA from 1 species